CCAGACUCCUACGGGAGGCAGCAGUGGGGAAUAUUGCACAAUGGGCGAAAGCCUGAUGCAGCAACGCCGCGUGAAGGAAGAAGGCCUUCGGGUCGUAAACUUCUGUCCUUGGGGAAGAAGAACUGACGGUACCCAAGGAGGAAGCCCCGGCUAACUACGUGCCAGCAGCUGCGGUAAUACGUAGGGAGCGAGCGUUGUCCGGAAUUACUGGGUGUAAAGGGAGCGUAGGCGGGACUGCAAGUUGGGUGUCAAAUCUACCGGCUCAACCGGUAGCCGCACUCAAAACUGCAGUUCUUGAGUGAAGUAGAGGCAGGCGGAAUUCCUAGUGUAGCGGUGAAAUGCGUAGAUAUUAGGAGGAACACCAGUGGCGAAGGCGGCCUGCUGGGCUUUUACUGACGCUGAGGCUCGAAAGUGUGGGGAGCAAACAGGAUUAGAUACCCCUGUACA
rnacentral:rRNA from 1 species